rfam:Otolemur garnettii contig039982, whole genome shotgun sequence.
GCCAGACAUGGUGGCACAUGUCUGUAGUCCCAGCUACAGGGAGGCUGAGACAGGAGGAUUGCUUAAGUCCAGGAGUUCUGAGCCAAUAGGGUGUCUGCACUAAGUUCAGCAUCAAUAUGGUGAACUCCAGGGAGCAAGGGGCCACCGGGUUGCCUAAGGAGGGGUGAACCAGCCCAGGUUGGAAAUGGAGUAGGUCGAAACUCCCGUGUUGAUCAGUAGUGAAUUGCACCUGUGAAUAGCCACUGCACUCCAGUCUGGGUAACAUAGUGGGACACCAUUUCAG